rnacentral:rRNA from 1 species
UUCUUAUUGAAUUAAAUUUUAAGUAAAAUCUGCUCAAUGAAAAAUAUUUAAAUAGCUGCAGUAACAAUAACUGUACAAAGGUAGCAUAAUAAUUUGUUUUUUAAUUAAAAACUAGAAUGAAAGAUUAAAUGAAAUAUAAACUAUUUCAAUUAAAUUAAAAAUUAAAAUUAUAUUUAAUUUAAAAAAAUUAAAUUUAAUUUAAAGACGAGAAGACCCUAUAGAAUUUUAUAUUUUAUUUUAAUUAAAUUAUUAAAUUUUUUUAAAAUUAUUAAAAUUAAAUAUUUAAUUGGGGCAAUUUAUAAAUUUAAUAAACUUUAUAAUUUACUUACAAAAAUAAUUGAAUCUAAAUAUUUAUCAAAAAUUUUUUAAUAUAAAAUUAAUUACCUUAGGGAUAACAGCAUAAUUUUUUUUAUUAGAUCUUAUAUAAAAAAAAUCUUAU